rnacentral:rRNA from 1 species
GACGAACGCUGGCGGCGUGCUUAACACAUGCAAGUCGAACGGUAAGGCCCUUCGGGGUACACGAGUGGCGAACGGGUGAGUAACACGUGGGUGAUCUGCCCUGCACUUCGGGAUAAGCCUGGGAAACUGGGUCUAAUACCGGAUAGGACUCCGGACUGCAUGGUCUGGGGUGGAAAGCUUUUGCGGUGUGGGAUGGGCCCGCGGCCUAUCAGCUUGUUGGUGGGGUGAUGGCCUACCAGGGCGACGACGGGUAGCCGGCCUGAGAGGGUGACCGGCCACACUGGGACUGAGAUACGGCCCAGACUCCUACGGGAGGCAGCAGUGGGGAAUAUUGCACAAUGGGCACAAGCCUGAUGCAGCGACGCCGCGUGAGGGAUGACGGCCUUCGGGUUGUAAACCUCUUUCAGCAUCGACGAAGCGAAAGUGACGGUAGGUGCAGAAGAAGGACCGGCCAACUACGUGCCAGCAGCCGCCGUAA